rnacentral:misc_RNA from 1 species
CAAACCUCGCUUCGACGACUUCGCAGCACGGGCUGUACGCGUCCGUGCAGCUGGCUUUACCGGCUCUAUUUCGUCUCCUCUGUGUCCCAGCGAAAUUCCCCGACCGAGGCUCGAUAUCGUGGAUCGAAAUUCUGCCCAACGAAGAAACUCCACCGACGCUCGUCUCUCCUCGUGGAACUGCACAAACUUUCCUACCGAUAAAAACUUCGUUUCAAUCAACGACCACUUGCUUCACUGGAUAACUUCUCUCGAAAUUCAUUUUGGUGCAAGGACGUUCAACUUCUUUUCAAAUGGAAAUUGUGCAACUUUCUUCCGAUCAGGAAAAUUUACAUCUUAUUUUGUAACCCGAUGUCAGUAGGAUUAGGCUGAUAUUACAGUCUUUUACUUUAUUAUACCAAGGAAAUUUACAGUAAUAUGUUUUAUAAUAUAUUACAUUAGUGAAUGUGUGAAUUAAAAUUGUCUUGUUUCCUUGUUGGUUUCUACACUUGUUCUCUUGCUUUUAUUCUAGAAAGAUGUAAAACGUAGAAAGAAAGAAAUUUGUUAGUUUUGACAAAUGAGAAUAAAGUAAUGAGCGAAGAAAUGCAGUUGUGCUUCUAGAACUGCAAAUAUCAAAGCGUAUGCAAAGAGAACAUAAAUCCUUUAUAGCUACAUUUUGUUAUUGAUAAAAAACUAAUUAUAGAUUUGAGUGAUAUAUAAUAGCACAACAAAAUAUUUCUGUGUAGCUGUGAAUAAUCUUGAAGGAAUAUUUUCUUAGCACAUAAAAAGUACAUUCAUAAAAUAUUUUAUCUAUUCCCAUUUUUAUAAUUUACUUUUACUCUUCGAAUGUCUACAUUGACCGAGAAGUAUAAAGUACAAAGGAUAUACAUGACAGCUUGCCAGGUCAAAAUAUAUAACAGUAAUAAAUAAUUACUAAACCAAUAAAUAAAACAAUAGAUUACAAAGGGUAGUAGUUCUUAAUAAUAAACGUCAAUAUCCAUUGGAAGAAAAAUUUCUUUCACCUCAAAUUUAUUAGUGGCUUUAAGCCUAACAAAUUUAUUGCAUUUUUGUGUGAGGUUAUAUUACCUAAAUAUAUUUUGGAGUAGAUUUCAGAAAGGAUAUACUCAUAUUUAACGUAUGAUUUAUUUCCUACUAUUGUCAUAAAUAUAAUAAUAUAAUGGAAAUGCAAACCACGUGUGUUUUAAUUAUUUUAUAUUAUGCAAUAUAUAUAUAACAGUUACGAGUAUGAGUAAUUCAAUUAUUUUUAACUGUAAAUCGAGCAAGAAAAUGCAUAGUAAUUUUGAAUUUUCAAAAAUCAAUUAGA